rnacentral:lncRNA from 14 species
GGUUUGGAGAAGUGCGGAAUAGGGGAAGUGCGGUUGAGGGAAGGCUUGAAGAAGGGUGGUGGGAGAAAGGGUCUACAGAGGAUGCGAGGACCGAGGCCCGCAUGGGUGGGACCGAUUAACAGGGCCGCCCGUAAAACCUAGGUAGGGGGUGGCAGGAAUAGGUCCCCGAGGUCUGAAGGAACCCCACGAAGGAGAGAUCUGGGAUCCUCCGGCGCGCGGCUGCCCCCUACUGGGCUUCGCGCUCGGAAGCUGAGUCCGAGAGGAGCGCGACCCAGAGGAGCGUGGCCAAGCAGGGAAAUGGGAGGUAGCGCGACCCGCGGAAAACCGCGAUUUGGCGGCAAGAAACAGAGCAAUCUCUCGCUAACGGACCUCGAAGAGUAACUCAGAUGAAGAAUCAAAGUUAUUUCAUCCAAUGAUCGGUAUCCUAAUGAAGACGAUGAAGUGAAUGUGCUGGCUGCUUAGCUUGCUUCCUCCCACUAGAGGCUCACAGCGACACCCCUCCUCCUACAUAGUACUCAUUCAUUAAACGUAUUUGUGAAUUUGGUCCCACUGAUUUAAA